rnacentral:rRNA from 1 species
CUACGUGCCAGCAGCCGCGGUAAUACGGAAGGUCCAGGCGUUAUCCGGAUUUAUUGGGUUUAAAGGGAGCGUAGGCUGGAGAUUAAGUGUGUUGUGAAAUGUAGACGCUCAACGUCUGAAUUGCAGCGCAUACUGGUUUCCUUGAGUACGCACAACGUUGGCGGAAUUCGUCGUGUAGCGGUGAAAUGCUUAGAUAUGACGAAGAACUCCGAUUGCGAAGGCAGCUUACGGGAGCACAACUGACGCUGAAGCUCGAAGGUGCGGGUAUCAAACAGGAUUAGAUACCCUGGUAGUCCGCACAGUAAACGAUGGAUGCCCGUUGUUAGUUCACUUAUGAAUUAGCGACCAAGCGAAAGCAUUAAGCAUCCCACCUGGGGAGUACGCCGGCAACGGUGAAACUCAAAGGAAUUGACGGGGGCCCGCACAAGCGGAGGAACAUGUGGUUUAAUUCGAUGAUACGCGAGGAACCUUACCCGGGCUUGAA